GACGGAGACCCCUAGCGUUGUUCGGAAUUACUGGGCUUAAAGGGCGUGUAGGCGGAACGGUAAGUACCUUGUGAAAGCCCCGGGCUCAACCCGGGAAUUGCUUGGUAUACUGUCGUUCUUGAGGCAGGUAGGGGUUACUGGAACCUUAGGUGGAGCGGUGAAAUGCGUAGAUAUCUAAGGGAACGCCUGUGGCGAAAGCGGGUGACUGGACCUGUACUGACGCUGAGACGCGAAAGCGUAGGGAGCGAACGGGAUUAGAUACCCCAGUA
rnacentral:rRNA from 1 species